UCCACAGUGACUUUGGAGGGAGACAAGCUGGUCCACGUCCAGAAGUGGGACGGCAAAGAGACGAAGUUUGUCAGAGAAAUCAAGGAUGACAAGAUGGUCAUGAAUCUGACCUUUGAAGACAUCCACGCAGUGCGCACCUAUGAGAAGGCAUGAGUGCUCUGAGUGACAGCCUCCCAAAACUGUCCAAAAAGUGAUGGGUUUAUAAAUAUUGUUGACUGUAUGCUUCUCUUUGCACUUCAUCCUCCUCCAUAUGUAAAAGCAAGCUGCAAGCUGCACAAAUUUUGUAAGUUUUUUUUAUAUGAAUACAUUUCUGUCAUGAUGGAUGGAUCAUCUUUGCAACCCUGUGCGGAAAUACAAAAUAAAAAAGGGAAAAAAAAGAA